rnacentral:misc_RNA from 1 species
UCCACGUUGACCGUGGCAGUCUGUCGUGAAAUUACAACACGACACAGGGGUUGCGCUCGUUACCCCACUUAAGGGUACACCUCACGGCACGAGCUGACGACAACCAUGCAGCACCUGUCAUAGGAUCCGAUUUAACGGUCCACCCGACUUUCAUCAGGUAUACUCCUACAAUUUCAAGCCCUGGUAAGGUUCUUCGUUUACCGUCGAAUUAAACCACAUGUUCCACCGCUUGUGCGGGUCCCCGUCUAUUCCUUUGAGUUUUAGUCUUGCGACCGUACUCCCCAGGCGGUGUGCUUAACGCGUUAGCUUUUUUUGACGGCACUAGAAGGGUCGAUACUUCUAAUACCCAGCACACAUCGUUUAGGGCGUGGACUA